UACGAAGGGUGCAAGCGUUACUCGGAAUUACUGGGCGUAAAGCGUGCGUAGGUGGUUUGUUAAGUCUGAUGUGAAAGCCCUGGGCUCAACCUGGGAAUUGCAUUGGAUACUGGCAAGCUAGAGUGCGGUAGAGGAUGGCGGAAUUCCCGGUGUAGCAGUGAAAUGCGUAGAGAUCGAGAGGAACACUCGUGGCGAAAGCGAGUCACUGGACAGUAUCUGACGCUGAUGCACGAAGGCUAGGGGAGCGAAAGGG
rnacentral:rRNA from 1 species